GCCGGAGUGGCGGAAUGGCAGACGCGGCGGACUCAAAAUCCGUUGGGCGCAAGCCCGUGAAGGUUCGACUCCUUUCUCCGGCA
rnacentral:tRNA from 1 species